rnacentral:rRNA from 1 species
UACAGAGGUCCCAAGCGUUGUUCGGAUUCACUGGGCGUAAAGGGUGCGUAGGUGGUCGGGUAAGUCUGAUGUGAAAUCUCCGAGCUCAACUCGGAAAUGGCAUUGGAUACUACUUGGCUAGAGGGUUGGAGGGGGGACUGGAAUACUUGGUGUAGCAGUGAAAUGCGUAGAUAUCAAGUGGAACACCAGUGGCGAAGGCGAGUCCCUGGACAACUCCUGACACUGAGGCACGAAAGCUAGGGGAGCAAACGGG